UACGAAGGGGGCUAGCGUUGCUCGGAAUUACUGGGCGUAAAGGGCGCGUAGGCGGAUAGUUUAGUCAGAGGUGAAAGCCCAGGGCUCAACCUUGGAAUUGCCUUUGAUACUGGCUAUCUUGAGUUCGGGAGAGGUGAGUGGAAUGCCGAGUGUAGAGGUGAAAUUCGCAGAUAUCAGGAGGAACACCGGUGGCGAAGGCGGGUCUCUGGGCCGAUACUGACGCUGAGGAGCGAAAGCGUGGGGAGCGAACAGG
rnacentral:rRNA from 1 species